GGGAGGGGGCUUGGCCACUUCCUGUGGUUUCUGAUUGGCCAAUCUGCCAUACCCCCCUCACACCCUCUUGUGUUCAAUUAAGACUUAAUUAGGCCCAACACUUUCUUUAUAAAAGUUACCAAUGACUUAAUUCCUAUCUAAAACCUCUUAAAAAAAUAGAGCAAGGGGGAAAUUUAAAAUUAUUUUCCAAAAGAUAAAACACUAGACUAGGCUCUGGCUGGGUUAGGUUUGGGAAGGUCUUAGCCCAAUCAAGGGCUAGAGUUGCACUGGCACAAGUCUUAUGCUUAUAUUUUAUGGUUUUUUUCAUCCCCAGGAAAAAGGUGAAGAGGAGGAUUAUAUUCCCAUCAAGGUAGGUAUCCUAGUAGGUAAGUAUCCCAGGUAAGUAAAAGACUAAAUACCCUAUACUGUAGAUCUGUGUUGAUCUUCUUUCUUUUUUUGUCCUACAGGAACCUUUCUGCCCCCCACUGGUCACCACAGGUAAGUAUCCCAGGUAAGAAGGUAUGUGCAUAUAUACACUUUUUUCUGAUUCCUGAUAUUGUUAAAUCACUUUUUCUCCUUCCACAGGAAUCCCUCACCUCCCACCUGGAAGACAGCAGGGGGUAUACAACCUUUAGAUGUUCAUAUUAAUAAAUCACCAAUCCAUAAUUUUAACAUUGUCUCUGCGGUUUCAGUGGUCCAGAGAACCGGAUCCCGUCCCGUUACCUGGAAUUGGCGUUGAUCCAUCUCAGGUUUUCCCAAGCUGCUGCAGCUGUUUCACUGUGGUCCUGGGUUUCUGUCUAUCCAGACAGUUCACCAUCCCCACUGACAGAAUCACAUGUUCUGUGUUUGGGUUCGGCGUCAGCUUCUCCAGUAUCCCCCUUAAAUGAUGGCAGUUUGCCCCUGGGAAACUGUCAACCUGGAUAUGUUCAUCCUUAAAAGUCGGAUGGAUAACGGGCUCCUCUCUGAGGAGGACCUUUGGCUGUGACUGGCUGAGAGCGUGACGGAGAUGUUCCAGAGGCCUCUAAAGUUUCCCUCAUCCCUACCAAAGGUAAGUAUCCAUGCCCCUGGGCGACAACACUGAUGGGGGGCCCCAGCCUGGUUGGGGCUGUGCCCCCUCUCCCUGUGGAUGCAGGCAAUGGUGGAAAGGCCUCCGGAUCUGGUUGGAGGGUUUGAGAAGAUGGACUUUCUCCCGGGGAGGUAAGUAUAUCCCGCAAUGUUUUCACUGAUGUUGUUGUGAAUUUGCGUUUAUAUCUCAACCUGCCCCAGCCCACCGCCAAUCGGAAAGCCUCCUCAUCCAUCACAGGUAAGUCGCUCAGUAAAAAGACCAGCAAAUCAUCAUAAUGACGUUUUAAAAUUUCCAGGUUCCCCUCUAACCAUUUGUUGGUGUUGAU